CACCUCCUGCCUCUAUCACGCCCUGUACGUCAGUAAGGAACUAUUAAAACAUAUCUCAAGUGUAAAAUUUGCAACUUACUGGAUCUCUUGAAAGGUUUUGAAUUCUAGACAGCUGUUAAUGCAGCCUGGAGCCUUCUGAAUCCAUUCAGAGACAGAAUAUUCUGAGUUGGAAGGGACCCACAAGGAUCAUGGAGUCCAGCUCUUAAGUGAAUGGCCCAUACAGGGAUUGAACCUUAAGAAAAUAAAGAAAACUUAAGAUUUAAGAAAACCUUUUCUUACAGGUUUUAGAGACUCCAUUUAAGAAGAUGGAUACAAUGCAGUUCAAUUAUGGAUUUUGCCUUUAUUGAUGACAUCAAGCAUCCGUUGGAUGAAUGUUGCUCGUCAUUGCUUGCUGAGUAUGUGAUGGAGUUGGAGGGAGGAAGAACUGAGAUCAGAUUCCUGACCCUAGACCUGUUCCUAGGCCUUUUCAUCGGAAAGUCCAAAUUUACACUACUUCCUAUGGUUUCUUUUGCUUGCAGUGGAAUAGAGAGCUUGUUGAAAGUAUUUUCUCAUUAUGGGCUUUGAGAGGGUGUACGGAUGUGCUGCAGAAUAGCAUUUGGAUAUAAAAAUAAUUUUUGAAAAUUGAAAUAAUGGUUUUAAAAUUAGUGCUAAUUUUGAGAGUAGCACGUGCAAGGUGCUGGGAAUGGCAGUUCUACAGCACAGAGAAGACUGGGGAAAUAAACUGAUUAGUAGCAGUUCUUCAGGAAAGGAUUUUGGUGUUACGGUGGUAAAUUGAAUGUGACUCUACAGUUUUAAAUUAUUGCAAGUAGAAUAGGAGCCAUGCUGGGUUGUAUUUGAAAAUGACUGUAGCCUAGAUGAUGUGUAAAAUAAUGUCUGCUUUGCACAGCAUUCGUAAUGCCACAGUUAUGUCUGUCUUACUGUAUUUUAAAAAGAAAAAAAAGGGAACAUCUGAAGAAAGCUAAAGAGCGAGCCAAAAAAGAUUAGAAAUCCAGACAAGAUAUCACAGGCCUUAAUGACCUGGAAUUAUUUAGCAGAAGGACAACAUAAUUUUUUCUCCAUGUGGCUGACAGAACAAGAAUUAUUAAGUUUAAAUUACAGCAAAACAGAUCCAUGUAAAUAUUAACAACUUUCUGAUGGUAGAACAGCAAAGCAGAUUUUUGAAUCCUAAAUCUCAGAGGUUUUAAAGUCAGGUUAAAUAAAUACCAGUUAGGAAGGACUUGGAUAUGACACAUAUUUGCUUUGAAAUGAGGCUGAAAUAAUAAAUGACUUCUCAAGACCUUCUGUUUCAGACACAUUUUCUAUGACUGGAAUUCAGCAGGAGCUCCACUGAAAUGUAGCAGCUGAGUCAGUAACCCUUGAACAGAAAGAGAUCCACUGUGUUCUCUUACUUUCACUACCUUUGUCACCAUAUAUCUGAAACUCUUCAGCCGUAAUUUCUUUGCUUCCAGAGAAAUAGUUAAUCUUUGUAGCCAAUAUUACUUCACAGUGACAUGAAACUGCAAC